rnacentral:lncRNA from 1 species
GCAGGGUUUCUUCUCCCUGCUAGCACCCACCGCGCUCUCCUGGUGGACCUCUGCUAAGUGAUCUGCAAUAACGCGCCUUGCCAAUCUCUGCAUCUGGUGCAUGCAAUGGACGAUCCUGCGGGUCCUUUACGUGCAUCUAGUCAUUGCUUCAUGAACUUCCUCGGUCGAACAUCCUUCAGACGACUUUUCGACCUUCAAUCCGAUUCAGUGGGCGCCAUGUCUGAACCCACAUCGCCUUAAGUGUCCAGCCAGUGCCUCCAGGGGGCAAGGUGAUCCUCCUGUACUGUGGCCAAGGCAUCACUUGGUCCACGACUCUCCUUCGGGUUCCCACCUCUUGCUCAGCUUCUGCGGAGUGUAUCGUGCGUGGAAACCCAUCGCUGCAGCCUGCCCCUCUCCGUAUGAGGACUGUUUCGUGUUGCUGUUCGUCAUUGCUCUGCUGCGACUACUAGUGGAUGAGAAGUGGGAGGCACACUGCUGCUCACCCUGCCCCAGCGAGACUUAUGCCAGCAAUCUCUGGAUCCGCCCAGGGCGACCAGCUCUUCAUAAUACUCUGUGCAACGCAUUUGUGCCGGUGAUUUAUAGCCUAGCGAUGCACUGUGUUGUGGGAAGAAUAAGCCAAUGGUUUGCAGAAUCUACCUGUUUAAAAAUAUUAGUAUGCUGUGCUAUACAGUGCAUCUCGUGUUCUUAGAGACUGUCAAAUAUAUUGGACCAAUGUCGUCGAUUAAAAUUGCACCAAUGUAACGUUUCGUGCAAUAUUUCACCAUGCUAAUGUUUCACCACCAUAUACAAUCGCAGUGCGAUUGAUCGACCCAUCUACAUGUUUUUGUUGGCCAUAUGAUAGAGGCAUCCACUCACAUUGUGCAUUGUAGUGGCAUAUUGAUGCUCUUUUGUGUUAAACUGCAUGGAAAGCUGUGCAAAUUCGUACGAAUUCGUGUUCUAUAACUCUGUACGGCAGGGAGGCUCCUUCUGUGUGCAUGUGUUUGUUGCGUAUUUUGGGCGAUACGCGUUCCAUGUCACCCAUUCACAACUUGACUCGGUAGCUCCUUCGGUUCAGUUUUGAGGUUAUUGUGUGGAUGCACUCGGCAGGUUCUCAUUUGUCCAAGCGGUUAAGCGGUUCAGCUGAAGCAUCACCAAUCGUUACGUGGGGGUGAUCGAGUCUUCACUUCUUUGGAAUCUGUUCGCUUCGGACGUCCCGGUUGGAGGGAGUCCGGAGCAUUGGUAUAUGGUCCAAUGCUAACACUUGAACAUCUUCCUGCGUAUAGUGCAUGACUUUGUCUAAGUACCUGCUACAUCCUUGGGUUCGUCUCCGCUGGUAUAUGCUUUCAAACUCUGCAGUCUCCUUUGCAUGCUUCAGUCUUGCUUCACUUGUAACAUGCAAGACCAUCAAUAUGCCAAAAAGCACACGAUGUGACUGGAGGGGUAUGUGGGGGCGGGCCAUAAUUAUGGCAAACAAAAACUUGUAGCUGGAUGGGAGUCUGUUUUGACAUGUGUGGCGUGUAAUGCUUACCUUUUUAGUCUGGUACUGUAGUGUUCUUCUAUAUGCUUUUGUAGGAAAUGUAUACAGGGGACAAGCACCGUGUGGCAGCACAAUGGUGUACUGUACUUUUUGAGUGAAGACUGUUUCUCGGUAAAGUUCUAGAAUGUUGACACAUUGUUAGUCGGGGAAUCAUGCGUACGUGCGUGCUGUUGAGCACCCUUUGAAUGUUGAAGUUGUUUUGGCCAGAUACAACAGCUAUAGCCGGAUACAACUUUCGAAAACUGGAGAGGCCCUGCCCAGAUAACCGAAGCGCGGCAGCCGGUUGCCUCGGUGACUACAGAAAUAGUCGUGCUCAUGCACUCGGCAGUGUUCUCCAAAGGUGGGGUCUCGCCAUCAGUCAAGCUGUUGAUGUCAGCCUGGAGUGUGUGCCCAUGGGUGCAGGCUUGUGUGAAUGCACCUUUGAGGAGGAAAUGCCGCUGGCUUCUAAAGUUGUAUCCGUCAGUCUGGUAGGGUGCAAAGUUUUAUUUCAAGACUUUAUUAGUGAAACAUCAUUUAAUGAAAAAAUGCUUAGAAGUAUUGAAGCUUGUGUUAAAUUGGUUGUUAUUUGCUGCUCUGCAAAUCUGCUGCUGUACAAUGUUCCUUUCUAGUAUUGUUCCACAUUUACCAAGUACUUCUAGGCCUCUACCAUUGUAUUUUUUUCUUCCUUUUGCUAAGACAUAUUGUUGCUACAUGGCUUGUCCGAUUGCGAGUAUGUAUCAGUAUGCCGUAUGUUGUCCGUUCUAAUCCAUAGUACUACCACUUGUCUUCACCCAGUAAAGUGUGAAUUUCCAUGUAGAUACUAUCUUUAUGCCCAGACUAUACGUGCAGGUUUCCAAACCGUAUUCUUUGUCAAAGAACUUGUGCUGCUGUGUUCGUUCACAUUCUUUGUGUACCAAAUAUAAAUUUUGUGGUCGCUACAAUUUGUUCAAAUAAAACGUACAUUGUGUGUUA